CGGGGUGUGGCGCAGCUUGGUAGCGCAUCUGCUUUGGGAGCAGAGGGUCGCUGGUUCGAAUCCAGUCACCCCGA
rfam:Olsenella sp. HMSC062G07 Olsenella_spHMPREF2826-1.0_Cont164.15, whole genome shotgun sequence.